rnacentral:rRNA from 1 species
CGCGUAUGCAACCUACCUAUCAGAGGGGAAUAACCCGGCGAAAGUCGGACUAAUACCGCAUAAAACAGGGGCACCGCAUGGUGAUAUUUGUUAAAGAAAUUCGCUGAUAGAUGGGCAUGCGUUCCAUUAGGUAGUUGGUGAGGUAACGGCUCACCAAGCCGACGAUGGAUAGGGGAACUGAGAGGUUGGUCCCCCACACUGGUACUGAGACACGGACCAGACUCCUACGGGAGGCAGCAGUGAGGAAUAUUGGUCAAUGGGCGGGAGCCUGAACCAGCCAAGUCGCGUGAAGGAAAAGAAGGAUCUAUGGUUCGUAAACUUCUUUUGCAGGGGAAUAAAGUGCAGGACGUGUCCUGUUUUGUAUGUACCCUGAGAAUAAGGAUCGGCUAACUCCGUGCCAGCAGCAGC